CCUACGGGUGGCAGCAGUGAGGAAUAUUGGUCAAUGGACGCGAGUCUGAACCAGCCAAGUAGCGUGAAGGAUGACUGCCCUAUGGGUUGUAAACUUCUUUUAUAAGGGAAUAAAGUGAUGCACGUGUGCCUUUUUGUAUGUACCUUAUGAAUAAGGAUCGGCUAACUCCGUGCCAGCAGCCGCGGUAAUACGGAGGAUGCGAGCGUUAUCCGGAUUUAUUGGGUUUAAAGGGUGCGUAGGUGGGUUGUUAAGUUAGUGGUGAAAGUUUGGGGCUCAACCGUAAAAUUGCAAUUGAUACUGGCAGCCUAGAGUACAGAUGAGGUAGGCGGAAUGCGUGGUGUAGCGGUGAAAUGCUUAGAUAUCACGCAGAACUCCGAUUGCGAAGGCAGCCUACUAAACUGCCACUGACAUUGAGGCUCGAAAGUGUGGGUAUCAAACAGGAUUAGAUACCCCUGUAGUC
rnacentral:rRNA from 1 species